ACGCUGGCGGCGUGCCUAACACAUGCAAGUCGAACGGGGUAUUUCUUCGGAGAUACUUAGUGGCGAACGGGUGAGUAACGCGUGAGAAACCUGCCUUUCAGUGGGGGACAACAGUUGGAAACGACUGCUAAUACCGCAUAAUGUUAUUUAAGGGCAUCCUUGAAUAACCAAAGCUUUAUGUGCUGAAAGAUGGUCUCGCGUCUGAUUAGCUAGUUGGUGAGGUAACGGCCCACCAAGGCGACGAUCAGUAGCCGACCUGAGAGGGUGAUCGGCCACAUUGGGACUGAGACACGGCCCAAACUCCUACGGGAGGCAGCAGUGGGGAAUAUUGCACAAUGGAGGAAACUCUGAUGCAGCGAUGCCGCGUGAGGGAAGAAGGUUUUCGGAUUGUAAACCUCUGUCUUCAGGGACGAUAAUGACGGUACCUGAGGAGGAAGCUCCGGCUAACUACGUG
rnacentral:rRNA from 1 species